UACGGAGGGUGCAAGCGUUAAUCGGAAUUACUGGGCGUAAAGCGCACGUAGGUGGUUCGCUAAGUCAGCUGUGAAAUCCCCGGGCUCAACCUGGGACUUGCAGUUGAAACUGGUGAGCUAGAGUAGGGUAGAGGGGUGUGGAAUUCCAGGUGUAGCGGUGAAAUGCGUAGAUAUCUGGAGGAACAUCAGUGGCGAAGGCGACACCCUGGACUCAUACUGACACUGAGGUGCGAAAGCGUGGGGAGCAAACAGGAUUAGAAACCCGUGUAGU
rnacentral:rRNA from 1 species